CCGGGUCAAAUGGUCCAGAGUUUUCAGAUCCUCAAAUACCAUAUGUAUUAUUUGACUUUCAUAUUGAUUUGGUGGAUUUGAAAACUUUUCACUUAAGAACACUUG
rnacentral:ncRNA from 2 species